rnacentral:lncRNA from 1 species
CCUACAUCGAGGACAGUAAAAUCUCGAAGACACUCAAGCAACCUCCCCAACUCGCUUCAAAAUCUCAAAUGGGCCAAUGAACCUGGGGCUCAACUUCCCUUUCUUUCUAAACCUCAUGACGCCUUUUAUUGGCGAGAACUGAAGCCAAACCUGCUCACCAACCAUAAAGGAAACAUCACGAACCUUCCGGUCCGCAUAAUGCUUCUGUCUGGACUGGGCCGUAUGGA